GACGUAGGGCGCGAGCGUUGUCCGGAUUUAUUGGGCGUAAAGAGCUCGUAGGCGGCUUGUCGCGUCGACUGUGAAAACCCGAGGCUCAACUUCGGGCUUGCAGUCGAUACGGGCAGGCUUGAGUUCGGUAGGGGAGACUGGAAUUCCUGGUGUAGCGGCGAAAUUCGUAGAUAUCAAGCGGAACACCGGUGGCGAAGGCGGCCUUCUGGACAGUGACUGACGCUGAGAUGCGAAAGCGUGGGGAGCAAACAGG
rnacentral:rRNA from 1 species